rnacentral:rRNA from 1 species
CCCUUAGAUGUUCUGGGCCGCACGCGCGCUACACUGAUGCGUUCAACGAGUAUACAACCUUGAUCGAUAGGUCUGGGUAAUCUUGUGAAUGCGCAUCGUGCUAGGGAUAGAUUGUUGCAAUUUUCAAUCUUGAACGAGGAAUUCCUAGUAAACGCAAGUCAUCAGCUUGCAUUGAUUACGUCCCUGCCCUUUGUACACACCGCCCGUCGCACCUACCGAUUGAGUGAUCCGGUGAAUAAUUCGGACUGCAGCAUUGUUCAGUUCCUGAACGUUGCAGCGGAAAGUUUAGUGAACCUUAUCACUUAGAGGAAGGAGAAGUCGUAACA